rnacentral:rRNA from 1 species
CCUACGGGGGGCAGCAGUGGGGAAUUUUGGACAAUGGGCGCAAGCCUGAUCCAGCAAUGCCGCGUGCAGGAAGAAGGCCUUCGGGUUGUAAACUGCUUUUGUACGGAACGAAACGGCCUGGGUUAAUACCUCGGGCUAAUGACGGUACCGUAAGAAUAAGCACCGGCUAACUACGUGCCAGCAGCCGCGGUAAUACGUAGGGUGCAAGCGUUAAUCGGAAUUACUGGGCGUAAAGCGUGCGCAGGCGGUGAUGUAAGACAGUCGUGAAAUCCCCGGGCUCAACCUCGGAACUGCCCUUGAAACUGGGAAGCUAGAAUCUUGGAGAGGCGAGUGGAAUUCCGAGUGUAGAGGUGAAAUUCGUAGAUAUUCGGAAGAACACCAGUGGCGAAGGCGACUCGCUGGACAAGUAUUGACGCUGAGGUGCGAAAGCGUGGGGAGCA